rnacentral:rRNA from 1 species
CACGUAAGGUGCGAGCGUUAUUCGGAAUUAUUGGGCGUAAAGGGCACGCAGGCGGUUUUGCAAGCUUGGUGUGAAAUCCCGGGGCUUAACCCCGGAACUGCAUUGAGAACUGCAUGACUAGAGUUAAUGAGGGGAAACCGGAAUUCCAGGUGUAGGGGUGAAAUCUGUAGAUAUCUGGAAGAACACCAAUGGCGAAGGCAGGUUUCUAGCAUAUAACUGACGCUCAGGUGCGAAGGUGCGGGGAUCAAAC